rnacentral:tmRNA from 1 species
GCCAUCUCAGAGCCUCUCGAUGUCGACCCCCUCUUUUGUAGCUCAUGUAAAGGGCGGUACCCGGCGCCUCCACCAAAAACCGGCGGUCUUAAAGGCCGGCUUUUGAUGGGGGCGAAACAGGAUCGACAAGGGUGUAAAGAUCGUCUUUUUGCUCGGCAUUGUACCGCCGUUAUCGGGCUAAAAUUGUAGUUGCAAACGACAACUAUGCGGAAGCUCGUCUCGCUGCUUAAUCGCGGUGUGACACUUCAAAUAAAGUCCUAGUGGUUCGCACCUCUAGGCGGGGUCCGAAGGCACCUGGCAACAGAAGCCUUCAC